rnacentral:rRNA from 1 species
CGCGGCCUAUCAGCUUGUUGGUGGGGUAAUGGCCUACCAAGGCGACGACGGGUAGCCGGCCUGAGAGGGCGACCGGCCACACUGGGACUGAGACACGGCCCAGACUCCUACGGGAGGCAGCAGUGGGGAAUAUUGCACAAUGGGCGAAAGCCUGAUGCAGCGACGCCGCGUGAGGGAUGACGGCCUUCGGGUUGUAAACCUCUUUCAGCAGGGACGAAGCGCAAGUGACGGUACCUGCAGAAGAAGCACCGGCCAACUACGUGCCAGCAGCCGCGGUAAUACGUAGGGUGCGAGCGUUGUCCGGAAUUACUGGGCGUAAAGAGCUCGUAGGCGGUUUGUCGCGUCGUCUGUGAAAACCCGCAGCUCAACUGCGGGCUUGCAGGCGAUACGGGCAGACUUGAGUACUGCAGGGGAGACUGGAAUUCCUGGUGUAGCGGUGAAAUGCGCAGAUAUCAGGAGGAACACCGGUGGCGAAGGCGGGUCUCUGGGCAGUAACUGACGCUGAGGAGCGAAAGCGUGGGUAGCGAACAGGAUUAGAUACCCUGGUAGUCUACGCCGUAAACGGUGGGCGCUAGGUGUGGGUUUCCUUCCACGGGAUCCGUGCCGUAGCUAACGCAUUAAGCGCCCCGCCUGGGGAGUACGGA